rnacentral:rRNA from 1 species
GGGUUGUGAGGUUAAGCGAAUAAGCGUACACGGUGGAUGCCUAGGCAAUCAGAGGCGAUGAAGGACGUGCUAAUCUGCGAAAAGCGUCGGUAAGGUGAUAUGAACCGUUAUACCCGACGAUAUCCG